rnacentral:tRNA from 1 species
GCCUGGGUGGCUCAGUCGGUUAAGCGUCCGACUUCAGCUCGGGUCAUGAUCUCACAGUUCAUGGGUUCGAGCCCUGUGUUGGGCU